GAUGAACGCUGGCGGCGUGCCUAACACAUGCAAGUCGUACGAGCUCGAUCUUCGGAACGGGUUAGUGGCGCACGGGUGAGUAACACGUAGGUGACCUACCCCAGAGUGGGGGAUAACUUCUCGAAAGAGAGGCUAAUACCGCAUACACUCGGUCAUUCAUUUGGCCGAGCAAAGCUCCGGCGCUUUGGGACGGGCCUGCGUCCGAUUAGCUAGUUGGUAGGGUAAUGGCUUACCAAGGCUUUGAUCGGUAGCUGGUCUGAGAGGACGAUCAGCCACACUGGCACUGGCACACGGGCCAGACUCCUACGGGAGGCAGCAGUGAGGAAUAUUGGGCAAUGGGCGAAAGCCUGACCCAGCAACGCCGCGUGAGGGAUGAAGGCCU
rnacentral:rRNA from 1 species